GACGAACGCUGGCGGCGUGCUUAACACAUGCAAGUCGAACGAUGAAGCCGGAGCUUGCUCCGGUGGAUUAGUGGCGAACGGGUGAGUAACACGUAAGCAAUCUGCCCUUGACUCUGGGAUAACUGCGGGAACCUGUAGCUAAUACCGGAUACGACACCUUGGGGCAUCCCAGGGUGUGGAAAGAAUUUCGGUCAAGGAUGAGCUCGCGGCCUAUCAGCUAGUUGGUGAGGUAAUGGCUCACCAAGGGGACGACGGGUAGCCGGCCUGAGAGGGUAAGCAGCCACAGUGGAACUGAGGCACAGUCCAGACGCCUACGGGCGGCCGCGGUGGGAAAUAGUUCACAAUGUGCGAAAGCCUUAUACAGCAACGCGGCGUGAGGGAUGAAGGCCUUCGGGUUGUAAACCUCUUUUAGCAGGGAAUAAGCGAAAGUGACGGUACCUGCAGAAAAAGCACCGGCUAACUACGUGCCAGCAGCCGCCGUAA
rnacentral:rRNA from 1 species